UCUCCACUAAUGGCCCCCCACCCCCUACAAGCCAUCUGGACAAGAAGUCACUUGACUCCUUGAGGGACGUGGCUACGCCUGACCUCAAAUCAGGCAAACCUAGUGAUGUCAUCUGUAUUGAGGACUAGACCAGCUCUGUAACACUGACCUCAGGUCAGAAACUCCCAGGGAUGGAAUCUCAAUGGAUGACUACUGACCAACUCUUACGCCACUCUCUCCUUGUUCUCUCGCUCCUUCCUAACUCCAGAUCUAAAAGUCAAGCUCUCUUCUCUCUACGGAUAAGGCAAUUAACUUUUUAAUGCAGACCUGCAGAUUAAGAAGGAAAAUGGAGCAGCUUCUUUGAAAACAGCUUCUUUCGCUCUGCACUACAGUGGAAGACUCGAGCAAGUUGGUGGCACUGAGUUCCUGACGCGCUUGAUUGGGGCUCAUUCUGAUUCUGGAAUGUGUGUUUUAUUUGCGUCAGCCUCAAUUCUUUUCAUCUGCAUACACUCAGUUGCUUUUACUCAUCUGCCUAUUUACUGUACACUGUGACUGUGCUCCCCCGGAGCUUGUCCCCUGUGAAGAGUGGAGUCGUCGAGGAUGUCUACAGUCAUAGCUUGAUAAGAGAUUGCUUUUUGAAGGCCAGUAUUGUUAUUUUAAAUAAACUUGUGUUUUGUCAUUCAUGUUGUAACCUGUGAAGAAAAUAUUGAUUUGAAAGAAUCAAGAACUAUUAACAUGUAUGCAGUAGCUGGACACAGGCUUUUGGAGAAUCCUCUAAAGACUGCCACCUGCUGGUAAUCUCAAGAAAGUAAUUUCUGCUAAACCUGCAGGGAGACUUGACUGCAGUACCUGGGAACGUUGGCCUCUUGUACUGUAUAUACUGAGAGACUGCUGUUUAUUUUACCUCACAUAUGUCUAAUGAUAGUGAACACAUGUAAACAUACAUGGAUGAAAUCAGAAGCCUGGCUUAGUGUUGUACAUGAAAAUCAAGUGAGAGAAACUUUGGGAGUGGCAAGAAUGAUUUUUAAUGCAUUUUAGAGAAGACUGAGUAUUUCUGUGUAUGGUACAAUAUUUGUGAUUCUUUCUAUAUUUGAAUGUUAGUAGUGGCUGUAGAGCUUAACCCUGGGGCCAUGACCGGUGGGACUUCAUUGUAAACAGGGACCCAUCUGGUACAUCCACAUACAGGGCUUCAGUGUUACCGAGACCAGAGUCCUGAAUGGAGGGUGGAGUUUUAUCCCUCUUAUAUCCCAGGGACUUUCCCAGUUCCCUUUUAAUUGUUAGGACUAAAUAAGAACACAUGUGCUUAUGGUGCAAUGUCACCUCAAGUUUAACAUUUGAUGCAGACUGCGCUUUUGUUUGCUUCUCUUUUUUUGAGGUUAAAUCUAAUGUUUUUGGUCACUUGGUGCCAUUAAAGGAUAUGAUCCAGAAUGAUUUGUUCUUGUUGCAGUGCAUUUCCUCCGCAGAGGUUAAGACUGUAAAUUGUGGUGUUACAGUCAAAGCUUUUCAUUUGAAGUAAUAUUCUCUGUGCAUCAGCAUUCAAGGACCAUCAUUGCUUUUAGAUGAUGUCGUCACUUUCAGCCUCCUUAGUAACAGUGUACGUGGUCAUUUAUUGCUUUACCUGGUGAUAAGGCUACUACAUGUUUACUCAUUCCAUCUACUGUUUUGUGCUAAAGUGACUGCACCUGGUAAAACAGUCUUUUUAUAAAUUCACACGUAUUUAAUUUUCUAUUAACACACUGCAAGAAUAUUAGGACUAAAUGUACAAAUCUUUAUUGACAAAUCUAUCUUUUUUUUCUUUUUCCAAUGAUAUGUUUGUAUUAUGAUUAUUAUUAUGCCAUUGCCAAGGCACUUAUUUGAAAAUGCUGAAAGGAUAAUUGCUAUUGACUAAUCUAAAGUGAAGAAAUAGUGAUUUAUGGUGAGUGUAUAUCCUUACUCUGUUUUUUGCCAGUUCAAAUGGUUGUCCUUAGGUGCUCUCUUCUGAUUCCCUCUUCAUUUUUCCAGCUUGUAUCGCACUCAUCGUUUCUCGAAAUGCUUUGACUUAAAAGUCAAAUUCAAAACAUUACGAUUUGGAAAGCAUCAUGAGACUAAUCUUGAGUGCACUACGCUUUUUUAGUGUGAAUCGAUGCUGUUUCCGUUACCGUUUUUGUUCAUGCCAGCAACUACUUGACCAUGACAUGGAUGGUUGACAGACAGAACCUCAGAAACAUGUAAAUACUUGUUGAAAUUGAAAGAUUUUUCAGAGAUAAGUCCAUGUCAUAUAGAUUUUUGUAUUAAACUGAAAAAGAUGAAUGUUUACUGGAUGGUGUUGCCAUAGAACUGCUAUGUGCACCGUAUGUGCUCAUCAAUCAAAAACUUGUCCUUUUCCUCUGGAACUGUGACCAUGAGAUGACGUCGAAAAACACAAUACUUCACUGAAAUGCAAUCAAACUGAAGUCAGUAUGAAUGUAAUGUCUGUUAAAAAGGCUUCAGUCUAAUAUUACCAAUAUGUUAACAAUGUAUGCACAUGCUUAUUAAUGUGGCUUCAAAAGCUACCAAAAGACCCUGUUAAAAGGCACCUUUGUUGCAGUGAAUGCACAGCAUGUGAAGCGUUUGAUGGUUCACUUUUGGGAGGUGGUGGUAUAGCAGGCAUUUACAGACAAUGAGCGCCAAGCAGUGUUAUGGUACUGAUAUUUGUGCUGUAUAGCAGUUGAAUGAAAAAGUGAAUUGUCAUCUUUUUAUUUGUAUUCUGUGUAUUUGUUCAAUGUGUUUUAAUAAAUCUUCU
ensembl:lncRNA